rnacentral:rRNA from 1 species
CGUCUAGUACAUGCCGAAUAAGGCGAAACCGCGAAUGGCUCAUUAAAUCAGUUAUGGUUCCUUAGAUCGUUUCUUCCUACUUGGAUAACUGUGGCAAUUCUAGAGCUAAUACAUGCAGUGAGCCUGGAGCCCUUUGGGUAACGGGUGCUUUUAUUAGACCAAGAUCGAUCGGGUUUCGGCCCGUAUUGUGUGGUGACUCUGGAUAACUUUGUGCUGAUCGCAUGGCCACGAGCCGGCGACGUUUCUUUCAAGUGUCUGCCUUAUCAACUUUCGAUGGUAGGUUACUUGCUUACCAUGGUUGUUACGGGUAACGGAGAAUCAGGGUUCGAUUCCGGAGAGGGAGCCUGAGAAACGGCUACCACAUCCAAGGAAGGCAGCAGGCGCGCAAAUUACCCACUCCCGGCACGGGGAGGUAGUGACGAAAAAUAACAAUACGGGACUCUUUUGAGGCCCCGUAAUUGAAAUGAGUACACUCUAAAUCCUUUAACGAGGAUCAAUUGGAGGGCAAGUCUGGCCCCCGGCAGCCA